rnacentral:rRNA from 1 species
AUGGCCUUUAGGAAACUUUAUGGAUCGAGCGGGAAUCAAGGAAGAUUUAACGCAUAUUUGCGUAAUGCUGAUCUUGUGAGCUUCGAGGAGGAAAAGUGCCGCCAGUACCACUAUCUCACUAGUUCAUUUGUGAGGAGGUUUGAAUUUUCAUCUUCACGCAAUUCUCCAACUGUCCUGUUUGAUCUCUAUGUAAAAUCUUACACUAUGGACUUAGAGGAUUUUACCACUGCUUGCAAACUUCCACAAUGGGGUAGUGCUAGUGAACCUCGCAAAUCUGAAUUCAGAGAUUUUCUUGCUUGUAUAACUGUGGGGGAAUCUAGAGAUAUAGCACAAGCUACCAUAGGGAGCAUCCAUUUUCCUGCUAUACAUUAUUUUGCUCUCUUCAUAGGUAGGUGCAUAAAUGGUAAGGAUGAAGCAUGUCACAUGUGUGUCCCUGACCUCAGUAUUCUUAGGAGUGCUGUGUUAGGAGACAAAUCUUAUAAUUUGGGAGCCAUUGUUGCACGUAGGUUGCAUCAUAAUAGAUUUAAUGGAGAUUUCUUUGGCGGAAUGUAUGCGACCCGCUUAGCUGAUUUUCUUGGUGUAACCAUACGUAAUGAUGAUAUUGAAUUGCCUCCUACUUAUUUAGACUUUAAUGCUAUGGUUCACCACCAGUUUGUCGAGAGGAAUGAAUCACCUCUCCGGUAUCGCUUAAUCUUUGACAGACGUCGUGCUGUCCGUAUUACUCUCCCUACUCCUGCCUUCUUUGAUUAUCAGGCAAAAGGAAGACAUUUUAUUACCAGAGAGGAGGCAGAUGAGUACGAGAGAUGGGCAGAGGCAGCUCGCCGCCACGCUGCAGCCCAGGAGGCAAUAACUGCCGCAUCGCAAUACGACCCCGGCUACAACUAUGGAUAUCCGCCAGGCCAUCCGUGGCAAUAA